rnacentral:tRNA from 1 species
CUAAGGAUGGUUCUUCAGAAGCUUGCUUCUAUCGAACCGUUUUAGAAACAUCAGUGGCCAACGGUCGUCAGGAUCGUUGAGCUGCAUUGGCGGGAUUUCGCCGUCUUCGUUUCUCUUUCUUCGCGGACGAACACGCGCUGGGGCUGCAACCUUGCAGAAUCCCCGGUCCUUGACUGGAUAUGCGUUAGGGGCUUGUAGCUCAGUUGGUUAGAGCGCGCGCUUGAUAAGCGUGAGGUCGGAAGUUCAAGUCUUCCCAGGCCCACCACACUCAUCGAGUGAGCAUUCGUCUUCUGGUUACGGGGCCAUAGCUCAGCUGGGAGAGCGCGUGCUUUGCAAGCAUGAGGUCGUCGGUUCGAUCCCGUCUGGCUCCACCAGAUGGUUUGAUCACCGACUACUCAUACCGUCGUCCGCGAAACAUCACUUCGCACUUACUAGUCCGGAUGGACAGUAAGCUGCGUGAUUUCUGACAUCGUAAAGAGGAGAUCGAUCCGAGUUGGAUCGGGCAACAAGCAAUUGUUGCGCGAUACUUCAUUAUCUCCGGAUCAUUUCGGCGCUCGUGCGUCUUCCAGGGUAGCUCACAAGGCUGCAUCUGAAGACAAGCGAGUUGUAAAUGAUCCUUUUAGCGAAGCUUGACCGCCUCGCUAUCGGAACGAUCUUACGAAGCAAGCUGGUCUUUCUAAUCAUUGUCCGGCUGCAGAUAGCGUUCAUCGAGGGCGCGUGCCUUAGAGACUUAGGUUUCUUGGUAAUUCUGCAGACAACAUUCUGCCGAGUGUGUGGACAUUGAUAAUGAGAGC